ACACAGUGUCAGCCUCAAUGUCAGGAUUAGCAGCGAUGUGACUAAUAGGUCUUUCAGUCUGCGCCCAUUGUUAACCAGCCAGUGGUCUCCGUGGCAACCACAGAGCAGGAGGAAAUACUUUCUGGGAUGAUGUCAUCGCCGAGCAGGCAGAAUAGUCGCACUUUGAUACUGAAUGAGUGCAAUUUACGCGGCGGAGGCGCGCUAUUGUGGAAAAAAGCCGUGAUGAGGCCAGAGGUUAUGAUUGACGGCUGCUUCGAGGGGACGACAAGGUAGGAAAUGCGCUUGAGACACACACGUACAUCGUUCGGAGUCGCAGAAGCAAAUGUAAUAAAUAUUAAGGCAAAACUGAAUGAAUGCGCUUCACACGUUGAGACGCAUCAUUGUGUAAACAAGCUGUGGCGGCAUGGGGGCGUUCUGAUUGACAGUUGCUCUCAGGAAAGACGUCAGUAGGAAUUCCACUUGACACACACACACACACACACUUCUGACAUUGACAGCAUAAUGUAAGCUUGACUGAUGGUGCAUUGAGACAGUGAACUGAUCUGAUGGGCUGACAAUCUGUACGAGUACGCAAUUUGUCGCCAACAUCCGAAUGAUGAAAUUGUGUGUUGCAGUAAUCUUGGAAAACGGAGAGAAAUACAACACACUGCUGAACCAGGCACACACACACACAAUAUACUGCUGAAACAGGAGUCACAGAAGCAAACGUAAUAAAUAUUGCCGGCUAUCACCCCCCCCUCACCCACAUCACCCCACCACACUGCACUGGUGCUGUUGGUGUUGUACUGGUGUUGCACGCCAAACAGAGUCAUGUGACGACAAAACCCGGCCUAGAGCUGGAGCUGGCCCAGAAAUAGGAGCUCAUCAAAAUGCCGAUCAUGGCCCAAAGUUGCCAAAGUGUCCAGCGGCACCCCGGGGAGGGACUUACACCCCCCCGGCCCCACUCCUCCAACCUCUCUACACAAAGACAAAGCAGGCUGCGCUCCAAAUUCUGCCACCGUACCUCAAUCCACUUCGCGCCAAAACGUUAUCGGGCACGGGAUCCAAUCUCGGCAAUGCUCACCUGCAACCCUCAUAGGACAAAUAUUUUAGAUCACGGACAAAUGGGAAAAGAAAAUGUGAACUUCCUGUCGUGGAUCUGCUGUGCUUUCUGUUCCGUCCGGAGGGGCGCUGAGGCCUUCUGAGGAGAAACAUACUCGCGACGGCAUCCACAAGACGACGCCUCGGGAUGUGCCGCAGCUGCUACGUGGCGAAGCGCGAACGCGGCAACGCAAUUAACGGGAAGAUGAACACGCUGUACGAGGAUGUUAUUUGCUACUGAUGACAGAACAUCCUAAGAUGCGCUCACCAGUCCCGGGAAGGAACGAGGCGGCCGGUGGGAAUGUCCGCUGAGCACUGACUCAUCACCUGACUCACGGCGCGAAGGCAACAUUCCAAGACCUACUUUUUCCUGGUCCUGAAAUGUAAAUGAAUGAUUAUUAAAAGCAUUCCAAAAUAAAUCAUUACAUUAUGGAAUUUUCUCUGCUAUCACAA